GACGAACGCUGGCGGCGUGCCUAAUACAUGCAAGUUGAGCGCUGAAGGUUGGUACUUGUACCAACUGGAUGAGCAGCGAACGGGUGAGUAACGCGUGGGGAAUCUGCCUUUGAGCGGGGGACAACAUUUGGAAACGAAUGCUAAUACCGCAUAAAAACUUUAAACACAAGUUUUAAGUUUGAAAGAUGCAAUUGCAUCACUCAAAGAUGAUCCCGCGUUGUAUUAGCUAGUUGGUGAGGUAAAGGCUCACCAAGGCGAUGAUACAUAGCCGACCUGAGAGGGUGAUCGGCCACAUUGGGACUGAGACACGGCCCAAACUCCUACGGGAGGCAGCAGUAGGGAAUCUUCGGCGAUGGACGAAAGUCUGAACGAGCAACGCCGCGUGAGUGAAGAAGGUUUUCGGAUCGUAAAACUCUGUUGGUAGAGAAGAACGUUGGUGAGAGUGGAAAGCUCAUCAAGUGACGGUAACUACCCAGAAAGGGACGGCUAACUACGUG
rnacentral:rRNA from 1 species